GCCGUUUUGGCUCAGUGGAUAGAGCAUCGGCCUAUGAACCAGGAGGUCAGGGUUCGAUUCCCGGUCAGGGCA
rnacentral:tRNA from 1 species